UUUUCCACUGGAUUCCAGAGGAAGAACCAGGUUUUUAUCCACAUCAUCGCUGGACCCCUUGGAGGAAAACUGCACCAGCACCCUGACUGACAGGGUAUCAGGCAGCAAGAGGAGCAGGAAUUCCAGCAAAAGCCACGACUCGACCCCGUUAUUUACGGACCUCAAAUGCUUUGUGGGUUCCUUCUUCUCAACUUUGCCUUUUUGGUGAGAGGUAGCAUUUGGAGAGAGGUAAAAAAACUGCUUUAAUUUGAAAUGUUGCAAAAAAAGAAAUGUUAUUAUUCGAAAAUUUCAAAAAGUUACAAUAAAACUUCAGCUUUA